rnacentral:rRNA from 1 species
AACGAACGCUGGCGGCAGGCCUAACACAUGCAAGUCGAGCGGACCCUUCGGGGUUAGCGGCGGACGGGUGAGUAACGCGUGGGAAUAUGCCCUUCUCUACGGAAUAGUCCUGGGAAACUGGGGGUAAUACCGUAUACGCCCCUUGGGGGAAAGAUUUAUCGGGGAAGGAUUAGCCCGCGUUGGAUUAGGUAGUUGGUGGGGUAAUGGCCUACCAAGCCGACGAUCCAUAGCUGGUUUGAGAGGAUGAUCAGCCACACUGGGACUGAGACACGGCCCAGACUCCUACGGGAGGCAGCAGUGGGGAAUCUUAGACAAUGGGGGCAACCCUGAUCGAGCCAUGCCGCGUGAGUGAUGAAGGCCUUAGGGUUGUAAAGCUCUUUCAGCUGGGAAGAUAAUGACGGUACCAGCAGAAGAAGCCCCGGCUAACUCCGUG